rnacentral:tRNA from 1 species
CAUUAGGUGGCUGAAAAAUAGUAUUGGUCUCUUAAACCAUAUAAUAGUAUGUUAUACUCCUAAUGA